rfam:Triticum aestivum genome assembly, contig: Triticum_aestivum_CS42_TGACv1_scaffold_030938_1BL
GUGUCCUCUUGUUUUAGUCCCACAUCGCUCAACAAGAGAGCUCGGGAGAUCAAGUGUAAUAUUUGUUUUUAUUAGUUUAAUAUCUGAUAUGUGGGCUAUAUGCCCACAACGAUAUUAAAUUUAUUUUUUAUGAAAAAAGAUCCAUCACAGUAGCUUGCUAGUGGGAUCCUUACGUGUUGCCCAGGUGUUGCAUUGCUGCCUAGGCUGGCGCACCCCAA